rnacentral:lncRNA from 1 species
GGUCAAGUCAUACAUGGAUCCCAUUCAUUUGUAGAUAUAGAUGCAAUAGAAGGCAAAAUUGAUCUUGUUUUACAUAAAUUCUAGCUUUUCAUGAUUACUCAUACUAAUUACAGCUAUUUAUGAAAAGAUGUGACCUCUUCUAGGUAGAAGAGGAAUUCAACUCAAAUUCUGUAAGGAGAAACCUUAGUAUAAAAAGAGGAUCUAUGCAACAAUUUUCAUCAUCUUUAAUG